rnacentral:tRNA from 2 species
UUAUGGGGAAGUUCCUCUCUUUACA